UGCCAGACUCCUACGGGAGGCAGCAGUGGGGAAUAUUGCACAAUGGGGGAAACCCUGAUGCAGCGACGCCGCGUGAGUGAAGAAGUAUUUCGGUAUGUAAAGCUCUAUCAGCAGGGAAGAAAAUGACGGUACCUGAUUAAGAAGCCCCGGCUAACUACGUGCCAGCAGCCGCGGUAAUACGUAGGGGGCAAGCGUUAUCCGGAUUUACUGGGUGUAAAGGGAGCGUAGACGGCAGCACAAGUCUGGAGUGAAAUGCCGGGGCUUAACCCCGGAACUGCAUUGGAAACUGUAUAUCUAGAGUGUCGGAGAGGCAAGUGGAAUUCCUGGUGUAGCGGUGAAAUGCGUAGAUAUCAGGAGGAACACCAGUGGCGAAGGCGGCUUGCUGGACGAUGACUGACGUUGAGGCUCGAAAGCGUGGGGAGCAAACAGGAUUAGAUACCCGAGUAAA
rnacentral:rRNA from 1 species